rnacentral:rRNA from 1 species
UCCUUAGAUGUUCUGGGCCGCACGCGCGCUACACUGAUGCAUUCAACGAGUCUAAAACCUGGUCUGAUAGGGCUGGGUAAUCUUUUGAAAGUGCAUCGUGAUUGGGAUAGAUGAUUGCAAUUCUUCAUCUUCAACGAGGAAUGCCUAGUAAACGCAAGUCAUCAGCUUGCAUUGAUUACGUCCCUGCCCUUUGUACACACCGCCCGUCGCUCCUACCGAUUGAAUGAUCCGAUGAAUACCAUGGAUUGAGAGUACGAAUGGGUUCGCUCAUUUCUGCUGCUCGAGAAGUGGAGUAAAUCUUAUCAUUUAGAGGAAGGAGAAGUCGUAACA